GAUGAACGCUGGCGGCGUGCCUAAUACAUGCAAGUCGAGCGAACGGACGAGAAGCUUGCUUCUCUGAUGUUAGCGGCGGACGGGUGAGUAACACGUGGAUAACCUCCCUAUAAGACUGGGAUAACUUCGGGAAACCGGAGCUAAUACCGGAUAAUAUUUUGAACCGCAUGGUUCAAAAGUGAAAGACGGUCUUGCUGUCACGUAUAGAUGGAUCCGCGCUGCAUUAGCUAGUUGGUAAGGUAACGGCUUACCAAGGCAACGAUGCAUAGCCGACCUGAGAGGGUGAUCGGCCACACUGGAACUGAGACACGGUCCAGACUCCUACGGGAGGCAGCAGUAGGGUAUCUUCCGCAAUGGGCGAAAGCCUGACGGAGCAACGCCGCGUGAGUUAUGAAAGUCUUCGGAUCGUAAGACUCUGUUAUUAGGGGAGAACAUAUGUGUAAGUAACUGUGCACAUCUUGACGGUACCUAGUCAGAAAGCCACGGCUAACUACGUG
rnacentral:rRNA from 1 species